rnacentral:rRNA from 1 species
AGAGUUUGAUCCUGGCUCAGGAUGAACGCUGGCGGCGUGCCUAAUACAUGCAAGUCGAACGGGAGCCAUUGGUUUCGACUGAUGGUGAGAGUGGCGCACGGGUGCGUAACACGUAGCUGACCUGCCCUUCGCAGGGGGAUAACUUGCCGGAAGGUGAGCUAAUACCGCGUAAUCUCAUAGGACCUAGCACCCCAUGAGGAAAGCUGAGGCGGCGAAGGAGGGGGCUGCGGCCCAUCAGCUAGUUGGUAGGGUAAAGGCCUACCAAGGCGAUGACGGGUAGGGGGCCUGAGAGGGUGACCCCCCACACUGGCACUGAGAUACGGGCCAGACUCCUACGGGAGGCAGCAGUAAGGAAUAUUGCACAAUGGGCGCAAGCCUGAUGCAGCAACGCCGCGUGAAGGAUGAAGGCUUUCGAGUUGUAAACUUCUUUUCUGCGGGAAGAGAACGGACGGUACCGCAGGAACAAGUCUCGGCUAACUACGUGCCAGCAGCCGCGGUAAAACGUAGGAGGCGAGCGUUAUCCGGAUUUACUGGGCGUAAAGCGCACGCAGGCGGUGGCAUCAGUGAUGCGUGAAAGCUCCCGGCUCAACUGGGAGAGGCCGUAUCAUACUGUUCC